rnacentral:tRNA from 1 species
UUAGCACAGUGGUUAAAGCAAUUGGCUGCUAACCAAAAGGUCAGUGGUUCGAACCCACCA